CUUUGUUACCUUACUUAAGUAGAAAUUUUAAGGGUGCCAAGUAAUGAUUUCCUGUCUUCUGUGAUAUACUAUGAAUUCUUGAUUUGUUUUUGUUCUGAUACUGUAUGUAAUGUAAAAUGUCACAUUUUGCAUCUUUUCUUGCCAACCUAGAGUUUUACAUGUAAAUUUCUUCAAGACAGCACAGUAAGACUUUGUUGUAACAGGCACCAUAGAAGUACAUCUUAAAUAUAAUAGGCCUAGUCAAACGUUUGAUGAGCCAUGUUUUCAAUAUGACAAUCAAAAUCGUACAGUUCAGCGUCUCAUUCAUCUUGUGCUUUCUUUAGCUGUCAGACCUUGAAGAUGUUUCCACAACAACACCAUCUGUUCACUUGUUUUACCAGUCUUCUUCCUUUUUUCUUUGGCUUCUUCCAGUCUCCCCUGCACUCAGGUGUUGUGUGUGGCCACCUGUUUGAUGCUUUCCACGGGUUUCAUAACCUCGUAGGUGGUGAGGGACUUCUUCACCUUUCCGUUCUUGUCCACCUGAUGGAUGCUCUGUGUCACUGUAAUGGUCACCUGCUUGGUCGACAUCCGAUUGUCCUGCCAUUUUGUCUGAUGACGAGGAAUGAAAGAUGGGACGUUAUAAAAACUAUUCAGUUCACUUUUACAAUUACGUAUGACAAAACAUCAGAAUUCUCACUUUUGAGAAGCUGGAGGCAGCAAAUGUUUGGCAAGUUUUCUUUAAAAUAAGGACUUAAACAAUUAUUUCAUUAUCAAAAUAGUUGCCACUUAUCUAAUGGUAAACUAAUCAAUUAUAUCCCUACUGUUUUAGCUCUAACUUAACAUGUUAGCUGGCCAUAAAAAUCUACGACGACAAAGAUGGAUGGAUUGAUUCUCCAUAACUUAACUACAAUUGGUCUCCCGCAACUUGUUACUUUUACUCAGCAAAUGAAUAGAAAC